rnacentral:sRNA from 1 species
AAAUUAAGAACUUAACUCUACCCUUUGCAUUGAUAAAUCUUCUAAACCCUUUUUCCAAUCAUUCUUUUCUUUUCUCUUAACUCUAGGAGAAGCUUUCUCAACACUUUGAUACAUCUAGCGGAUUUUAAUUUCUUUAACAACUAAUGUUCCUGUUUUAAAUUUUUAAAACCGAGGGCUUUUGCCCUUCUUCAUUAGCUAACAAGAACCCUUUUCUUUUCUUUACAAAUCCCAAAACGUUUACUAGACUUUUUCUGCUUCAUUACGCUACUUCACCUAGAGUCUUUUACCUUUUCUUAUCAAUGAAUCCACCC